rnacentral:rRNA from 1 species
UAGCCUAACGGCUGAACNGCAACUUGGGGGAAUGUAUAGCUCUCUUAUGAGGCUAGUUAAGUUUUGAGUAGUAAAGAUAAGUUUUAAGUAGUAAAAUGUUAUGAAAAAAACAUAAUACCAACUACGUUGGAUAAAGUUCUAGAUAGAAUACUGAUUAUGACUAUUUUCUAUCUACAUGUCUUGACCAAAUUACGUGCCAGCAGUCGCGGUAAUACGUAGAAGACUAGUGUUAUUCGUAUGUAAUAGGUUUAAAGGGUACCUAGACGGUAUUACUAACCCACAACAGGGAAAUAGUUUUUGCUAGAGUUUUAUGUGAGAAGGAAGUACUUACGGAGUAGAGAUGAAAUCCUUUAAUACCCUAAGGACUGGUAACGGCGAAGGCAUCCUUCUAUGUAAAAACUGACGUUAAGGGACGAAGGCUUGGGUCGCGAAAAGGAUUAGAUACCCUUGUAGUCCAUGCAGAUAAUGAUGAAUGCCAUAUGCUAGAUUUUUUUUAGUGUAUAAAUGAAAGUGUAAGCAUUCCACCUCAAGAGUACUGUGGCAACGCUGGAACUGAAAUCAUUAGACCGUUUCUGAGACCAGUAGUGAAGUAUGUUAUAUAAUUCGGUAGCCCUCGAAAAACCUUACCACAGCUUGAAUAAUGUCAAAAGUUAAUCAAGGUAAUUUUAUACUUUAUCUACCC